rnacentral:rRNA from 1 species
AUGGCGACCUCCGCGGUGCUCUUCCUCCUCCUCGCUGUUUUUGCCGCCGGUGCCAGCGCGGCCAUCUUCAACAUCAAGAACAACUGCGGCUCCACAAUUUGGCCGGCGGGCAUCCCGGUGGGUGGGGGCUUCGCGCUGGGCGCAGGCCAGACGUCCAGCAUCAACGUGCCCGCGGGCACCAAAGCCGGGAGGAUAUGGGCUCGCACCGGGUGCUCCUUCAAUGGCGGCAGCGGGAGCUGCCGGACCGGCGACUGCGGCGGCCAGCUGUCCUGCUCCCUCUCCGGGCGGCCACCAGCAACGCUGGCCGAGUACACCAUCGGCGGCGGCAGCACCCAGGACUUCUACGACAUCUCGGUGAUCGACGGCUUCAACCUUGCCAUGGACUUCUCGUGCAGCACCGGCGACGCGCUCCAGUGCAGGGAUCCCAGCUGCCCGCCGCCGCAAGCCUACCAACACCCCAACGACCAAGCCACACACGCCUGCAGUGGCAAUAAUAACUACCAGAUCACCUUCUGCCCAUGA